GAUUCUGGCUCAGGAUGAACGCUGGCGGCGUGCUUAACACAUGCAAGUCGAACGGAGUUAUAUGAAACCUAGUGAUUAUAAACUUAGUGGCGGACGGGUGAGUAACGCGUGGGUAACCUGCCUUAUACCGGGGGACAACAGUUAGAAAUGACUGCUAAUACCGCAUAAGCGCACGGUGUCGCAUGACACAGUGUAGAAAAACUCCGGUGGUAUAAGAUGGACCCGCGUCUGAUUAGCCAGUUGGUGAGGUAACGGCCCACCAAAGCAACGAUCAGUAGCCGGCCUGAGAGGGUGAACGGCCACAUUGGGACUGAGACACGGCCCAAACUCCUACGGGAGGCAGCAGUGGGAAUAUUGGACAAUGGGGGAAACCCUGAUCCAGCCGACGCCGCGUGAGUGAAGAAGUAUUUCGGUAUGUAAAGCUCUAUCAGCAAGGAAGAUAAUGACGGUACUUGACUAAGAAGCCCCGGCUAACUACGUGCCAGCAGCUGC
rnacentral:rRNA from 1 species